UACGGAGGGUGCAAGCGUUAUCCGGAUUUACUGGGUUUAAAGGGUGCGCAGGCGGAUAUGUAAGUCAGUGGUGAAAUCUCUAGGCUUAACCUGGAAAUUGCCGUUGAUACUAUAUAUCUUGAAUGCUGUGGAGGUAAGCGGAAUAUGUCAUGUAGCGGUGAAAUGCUUAGAUAUGACAUAGAACACCUAUUGCGAAGGCAGCUUACUACGCAGAUAUUGACGCUCAUGCACGGAAGCGUGGGGAUCAAACAGG
rnacentral:rRNA from 1 species